rnacentral:rRNA from 1 species
GGANUUACUGGGCGUAAAGCGGGCNCAGACGGUUACUUAAGCAGGAUGUGAANUCCCCGGGCUCAACCUGGGAACUGCGUUNUGAACUGGGUGACUAGAGUGUNUCAGAGGGAGGUAGAAUUCCACGUGUAGCAGUGAAAUGCGUAGAGAUGUGGAGGANUACCGAUGGCGAAGGCAGCNUCCUGGGAUAACACUGACGUUCAUGCCCGAAAGCGUGGGUAGCAAACAGGAUUAGAUACCCUGGUAGUCCACGCCCUAAACGAUGUCGAUUAGCUGUUGGGCAGCAUGACUGCUUAGUAGCGAAGCUAACGCGUGAAAUCGACCGCCUGGGGAGUACGGUCGCAAGAUUAAAACUCAAAGGAAUUGACGGGGACCCGCACAAGCGGUGGAUGAUGUGGAUUAAUUCGAUGCAACGCGAAGAACCUUACCUGGUCUUGACAUGUACGGAACCCUCCAGAGACGGAGGGGUGCCUUCGGGAGCCGUAACACAGGUGCUGCAUGGCUGUCGUCAGCUCGUGUCGUGAGAUGUUGGGUUAAGUCCCGCAACGAGCGCAACCCUUGUCAUUAGUUGCCAUCAUUAAGUUGGGCACUCUAAUGAGACUGCCGGUGACAAGCCGGAGGGAGGUGGGGAUGACGUCAAGUCCUCAUGGCCCUUAUGACCAGGGCUUCACACGUCAUACAAUGGUCGGUACAGAGGGUAGCCAAGCCGCGAGGUGGAGCCAAUCUCACAAAACCGAUCGUAGUCCGGAUUGCACUCUGCAACUCGAGUGCAUGAAGUCGGAAUCGCUAGUAAUCGCAGGUCAGCAUACUGCGGUGAAUACGUUCCCGGGUCUUGUACACACCGCCCGUCACACCAUGGGAGUGGGGGAUACCAGAAGUAGGUAGGGUAACCGCAAGGAGCCC